GCCUUCGUGGUGUAGUGGUCAGCACGUUCGACGCAUAUUCGAGAAGUCUGUGGUUCGAGUCCCAGCGAGGACA
rfam:Stegodyphus mimosarum contig115604, whole genome shotgun sequence.